AGUGAACGCUGGCGGCGUGCUUAACACAUGCAAGUCGAACGAGAACGGAUUAUAGCUUGCUAUAAUUGUCAGCUAAGUGGCGCACGGGUGAGUAAUGUAUAGGUAAUAUGCCUCUUACUAAGGGAUAACAAAUGGAAACGUUUGCUAAUACCUUAUACUCCUUAUUAACAGAAGUUAAUAAGGGAAAGAUUUAUUGGUAAGAGAUUAGCCUGUAUUGUAUCAGUUAGUUGGUGGGGUAAUGGCUUACCAAGACUAUGACACAUAACUGGUUUGAGAGGAUGAUCAGUCACACUGGAACUGAGACACGGUCCAGACUCCUACGGGAGGCAGCAGUGGGGAAUAUUGCACAAUGGACGAAAGUCUGAUGCAGCAACGCCGCGUGGAGGAUGACACAUUUCGGUGCGUAAACUCCUUUUAUAUGAGAAGAUAAUGACGGUAUUAUAUGGAUAAGCACCGGCUAACUCUGUGCCAGCCGCCGCGGUAA
rnacentral:rRNA from 1 species